AGCAGUAUAGUGUAACUAUGCACAUGGGAGUCCUGUAAGUGCAAUGAUUUGCCAUAUUCAACCCAAGGUCCUUGUUCGAAUCAAGGUGCUGCUC